rnacentral:rRNA from 1 species
GACGAACGCUGGCGGCGUGCUUAACACAUGCAAGUCGAACGGAAAGGCCCUGCUUUUUUGCGGUGCUCGAGUGGCGAACGGGUGAGUAACACGUGAGUAACCUGCCCUUGACUUUGGGAUAACUUCAGGAAACUGGGGCUAAUACCGGAUAGGAGCUCCUGCUUCAUGGUGGGGGUUGGAAAGUUUCGGCGGUUGGGGAUGGACUCGCGGCUUAUCAGCUUGUUCGUGGGGUAGUGGCUUACCAAGGCUUUGACGGGUAGCAGGCCUGAGAGGGUGACCGGCCACAUUGGGACUGAGAUACGGCCCAGACUCCUACGGGAGGCAGCAGUGGGGAAUAUUGCACAAUGGGCGGAAGCCUGAUGCAGCAACGCCGCGUGCGGGAUGACGGCCUUCGGGUUGUAAACCGCUUUCGCCUGUGACGAAGCGUGAGUGACGGUAAUGGGUAAAGAAGCACCGGCUAACUACGUG